AACGAACGCUGGCGGCAGGCUUAACACAUGCAAGUCGAACGCUCCGCAAGGAGAGUGGCAGACAGGUGAGUAACACGUGGGAACGUACCCUUUACUACGGAACAACUCCGGGAAACUGGAGCUAAUACCGUAUGUGCCCUUCGGGGGAAAGAUUUAUCGGUAAAGGAUCGGCCCGCGUUGGAUUAGCUAGUUGGUGGGGUAAAGGCCUACCAAGGCGACGAUCCAUAGCUGGUCUGAGAGGAUGAUCAGCCACAUUGGGACUGAGACACGGCCCAAACUCCUACGGGAGGCAGCAGUGGGGAAUAUUGGACAAUGGGCGCAAGCCUGAUCCAGCCAUGCCGCGUGUGUGAUGAAGGCCUUAGGGUUGUAAAGCACUUUCACCGGAGAAGAUAAUGACGGUAUCCGGAGAAGAAGCCCCGGCUAACUUCGUGCCAGCCGCCGCGGUAA
rnacentral:rRNA from 1 species